CCGACAUGGACAUUCAGCCGUUCUUUUACUUUAUGGGAGCUUUGAGUCAAAGGCCGCAGGCACAUUCCAUCAGCUGACACUAGUGAAGGACAGUAACACAUCACUCACAGAAUGUUCAAGACAGUUUUCACAGUCCUUUCCACAAUGCUGUUUGUGGCUUUCUGCCAGACAAUGGCACAGCAAGCAAUACGGAGAUCGAAUCCACGAGUCAAGUCGUGCUUGAGCAUGUGUGCAACAAACGUCGAGUAUUGUGACGUCCAGUGCAAAUGGUUGUACGGGACACAUCGUCAACUCGAAGAUUUUGAGGACUUUUCGAACUGUUUGGGCGAAUGUGCUGGGGGCUACAUGAGUUGUUUCAGCAAGUGUAAUCAAUAAACUUUUCAAAUUAUAGAUCAGUCUUAUAAUUCCAGACAUGGAAAUAAAAUAAAUUCUGCCAAACUCAUUUCCACUUUGUGAUGCCAAUUAAUGAAAAUUAUAUUAAUUUGUUAUUUUUAAAAUGCCUUGUUUAAUAAAUAUACCAUACUUAU